rnacentral:rRNA from 1 species
UGAGGAAUAUUGGGCAAUGGGCGGGAGCCUGACCCAGCCAUCCCGCGUGCAGGACGAAGGCCUUAUGGGUUGUAAACUGCUUUUCUGCGGGGAGAAUAGCCCUGGUGCGCCGGGGAUUGACGGUACCGCAGGAAUAAGCAUCGGCUAACUCCGUGCCAGCAGCCGCGGUAAUACGGAGGAUGCGAGCGUUAUCCGGAUUCAUUGGGUUUAAAGGGUGCGCAGGCGGCGCAGCGAGUCAGUGGUGAAAUUCUGCCGCUCAACGGUAGGGCUGCCAUUGAUACUGAUGCGCUUGAGUGCGGUUGAGGCAGGUGGAAUGUGCAGUGUAGCGGUGAAAUGCAUAGAUAUUGCACAGAACGCCGAUUGCGGAGGCAGCUUGCCAAGCCGUUACUGACGCUGAGGC